UGCUAUCGGAUUGAUACUAAGCCAUGCGAGUCAUUGUAGCAAUACAAGGCAUACGGCUCAGUAACGCGUAGUCACCUAACCUAUGGACGGGAAUAACCUCGGGAAACUGAGAAUAAUGCCCGAUAGAACAUUAUGCCUGGAAUGGUUUAUGUUCCAAAUGAUUUAUCGCCGUAGGAUGGGACUGCGGCCUAUCAGUUUGUUGGUGAGGUAAUGGCCCACCAAGACUAUUACAGGUACGGGCUCUGAGAGGAGUAGCCCGGAGAUGGGUACUGAGACACGGACCCAGGCCCUAUGGGGCGCAGCAGGCGAGAAAACUUUGCAAUGUGCGAAAGCACGACAAGGUUAAUCCGAGUGGUUUCUGCUAAAGGAACCUUUUGUCAGUCCUAGAAACACUGAUGAAUAAGGGGUGGGCAAGUUCUGGUGUCAGCCGCCGCGGUAAAACCAGCACCUCAAGUGGUCAGGAUGAUUAUUGGGCCUAAAGCAUCCGUAGCCGGCUCUGUAAGUUUUCGGUUAAAUCUGUACGCUCAACGUACAGGCUGCCGGGAAUACUGCAAAGCUAGGGAGUGGGAGAGGUAGACGGUACUCGGUAGGAAGGGGUAAAAUCCUUUGAUCUAUUGAUGACCACCUGUGGCGAAGGCGGUCUACC
rnacentral:rRNA from 1 species